GAUGAACGCUGGCGGCGUGCCUAAUACAUGCAAGUCGAGCGAACAGACGAGGAGCUUGCUCCUCUGACGUUAGCGGCGGACGGGUGAGUAACACGUGUAUAACCUACCUAUAAGACUGGGAUAACUUCGGGAAACCGGAGCUAAUACCGGAUAAUAUAUUGAACCGCAUGGUUCAAUAGUGAAAGACGGUUUUGCUGUCACUUCUCGAUGGAUCCGCGCCGCAUUAGCUAGUUGGUAAGGUAACGGCUUACCAAGGCGACGAUGCGUAGCCGACCUGAGAGGGUGAUCGGCCACACUGGAACUGAGACACGGUCCAGACUACUAAGGGAGGCAGCAGUAGGGAAUCUUCCGCAAUGGGCGAAAGCCUGACGGAGCAACGCCGCGUGAGUGAUGAAGGUCUUCGGAUCGUAAAAAUCUGUUAUUAGGGAAGAACAAAUGUGUAAGUAACUAUGCACGUCUUGACGGUAACUAAUCAGAAAGCCACGGCUAACUACGUG
rnacentral:rRNA from 1 species